GGUCUUGUGGUCUAGUGGUAUGAUUCUCGCUUAGGGUACUUCCUGAGCACACUUGCGAGAGGCCCCGCGUUCGAGUCGCGGCAAGACCC